rnacentral:sRNA from 1 species
ACUACAAGAUCCACUGUGAGCGCGGCCCGGGAGCUGGCGGGCGGGUCCCCGGGUGGGCUGCUGCGGGCUCACCCCCUCCCUGCCUGCCUCCCCAGGGUGGGAGAACGUAUAUGGCUUUGACAUGUCUUGCAUCAAAGAUGUGGCCAUUAAGGAGCCCCUAGUGGAUGUCGUGGACCCCAAACAGCUGGUCACCAACGCCUGCCUCAUAAAGCCAGAGGUGGUGCUAGAGGCCCAGGAAAGACACUUCGUCCUUUAAAUAUCUUUGUGAGCGUUGCUGUGUGAGAACCAUGCUUGGCACUUGGCGUCCGGCGGAGGAAACACCCGAAGCUGGCAGCUAAAGCCUACAGCCCGUGCACGGAAAGGCAGGACCCCAGGGCAAUGAGCGGGUGCACAUGCACGCGGGCCACUGCAGAAGAGCACGGGGCCAGGCUGGGCUCCGAGAUGUGUCGGAGGUCCCAGCUACUCGGGAGGAUCACUUGGGCCUGGGAGUUCAAGGCUGCAAUGAGCUGUGAUCACAUCACUGCACUCCAGCUUUGGUGACAGUGUUUUGUUUUGUUUUUUCCUUUUAUUUUUUUUACUUCUGAGAUCCUGUUUAAAAAAAA